rnacentral:rRNA from 1 species
AACGAACGUUGGCGGCGUGGAUUAGGCAUGCAAGUCGAGCGAAUCCCCGCAAGGGGGGAAGCGGCGAAAGGGGCAGUAAGGCAUGGGUAACCUACCCUGGGGACUGGGAUAGCCCCUCGAGAGAAGGGGUAAUACCGGGCGAUGUGCCGGGCCGGCAUCGGUCAGUCACCAAAUGAGUUUCGCCCUGGGAGGGGCCCAUGUGAUAUUAGCUAGUUGGAGAGGUAACGGCUCACAAAGGCGAAGAUGUCUAGCGGGUGUGAGAGCACGACCCGCGCCACUGGCACUGAGACACUGGCCAGACACCUACGGGUGGCUGCAGUCGAGGAUCUUCGGCAAUGGGCGCAAGCCUGACCGAGCGACGCCGCGUGUGCGAUGAAGGCCUUCGGGUUGUAAAGCACUGUCGAGAGGGAGAAAAGCGAAAGCUUGAUCUAUCUCUGGAGGAAGCACGGGCUAAGUUCGUGCCAGCCGCCGCUGUAA